GAUGAAGAACGUAGCGAAAUGCGAUAAUUAAUGUGAAUUGCAGAAUUCCGUGAAUCAUCGAGUCUUUGAACGCACAUUGCGCCUCAUGGCAUUCCGUGAGGCAUGCCCAUCUCAGCGUUAGAAAACAUUCUCAAAUUUUAGUUUUGUGCUAAAAUUUGGAUCAUGUCAAAGAAGCUAUUACUAUUAUUGUGAUCGCUCUUUGGAAAUUGAUAGGUCUUUGAGUUGCUACUCAUAGAACGUGAUGAAUCUUUCUUCGUUCUAUUGUAAUUCACUCUGGUAGUCCUAAAACUUGUAUGCCUGUGGCAUAUCUUGUAAUUUGACCUGAGAUUGGGUAGGGAUACCCGCUGAACUUAAGCAUAUCAAUAAGCGGAGGA
rnacentral:misc_RNA from 1 species